rnacentral:SRP_RNA from 1 species
UCUCUCUGGCGGCGACACGUUGUGAACCCGGUCAGGUCCGGAAGGAAGCAGCCGCAGCAGCCGAUUCGGGUGUCAGAGUCAGGCUGGCU